GAUGAACGCUGGCGGCGUGCUUAACACAUGCAAGUCGAACGAUGAGGCCCAGCUUGCUGGGUUGAUUAGUGGCGAACGGGUGAGUAACACAUGAGUAACCUGCCCUUGACUCUGGCAUAAGCCUGGUAAACUGGCUCUAAUACUGGAUAUGACUUCUCAUCGACUGGUGGGGGGUGGAAAGAUUGAUUGGUCUUGGAUGGACUCUCGGCCUAUCAGCUUGUUGGUGACGUAAUGGCUCACGAAGGCGACGCCGGGUAGCCGACCCGAGGGGGGGACCGGCGACACUAGGACUGAGACACGGCCCAGAAUCCUACGGGAGGCAGCAGUCGGGAAUAUUGCAGAAUGGCGGCAAGUCUGAGACAGAGGCGCUGCGUGCGUGAUGCUGUCCUACGAGGUGUGAACAUCUUUCUGUAGAGAAGAAGCGGGCGUGACGGUACCUGAAGAGAAAGCGCCGGCUAACUACGUG
rnacentral:rRNA from 1 species